GACGAACGCUGGCGGCGUGCCUAACACAUGCAAGUCGAACGGAAAGGCCCUGCUUUUGUGGGGUGCUCGAGUGGCGAACGGGUGAGUAACACGUGAGUAACCUGUCCCUGCCUGUGGGAUAACUUCAGGAAACUGGGGCUCAUACCGGAUAGGAGCUCCUGCUGCAUGGUGGGGGUUGGUAAGUUUCGGCGGUUGGGGAUGGACUCGCGGCUUAUCAGCUUGUUGGUGGGGUAGUGGCUUACCAAGGCUUUGAAGGGUAGCCGGCCUGAGAGGGUGACCGGCCACAUUGGGAUUGAGAUACGACCCAGACUCGUACGGGAGGCAGCAGUGGGGAAUAUUGCACAAGGGGCGGAAGCAUGAUGCAGCAACGCCGCGUGCGGGAUGACGGCCUUCGGGUUGUAAACCGCAUUCGCCUGUGACGAAGCGUGAGUGACGGUAAUGGGUGAAGAAGCACCGGCUAACUACGUG
rnacentral:rRNA from 1 species